rnacentral:SRP_RNA from 1 species
CCGUGCUAAGCGGGGAGGUAGCGGUGCCCUGUACCCGCAAUCCGCUCUAGCGGGGCCGAAUCCCUUCUCGAGGUUCGUUUACUGUAAGGUCUGCCUUAAGUAAGUGGCGUUGACGUCUGGGUCCUGCGCAAUGGGAAUUCAUGAACCAUGUCAGGUCCGGAAGGAAGCGACAUUAAGUGAAACCUCUCAUGUGCCGCAGGGUUGCCUGGGCUGAGCUAACUGCUUAAGUAACGCUUAGGGUAGCGAAUCGACAGAAGGUGCACGG